rnacentral:misc_RNA from 1 species
UUUAGAUCUUGAUAGAAAAGUCCUACUCAAACUCUGUAAUUUUGGUUCAAUUAGGCUUAUGGAUGCUGAGAUAUUUAAAUGCCUAUGAAAAUAGGCUUAGGGCUGAAAAAUAAUCUUGUUUUAUGAUCCUUUAGAUCAGCUUGUUAUUAGCAUGCCUCAGUCGCUAUCCUCAAAAAUCCAAAACCAAUUAUUUGGUAUUAAGCUCAAUGCUUGAAUAGCUAAGCUAAGUGUCACUACGGCAAAGCUUAAAUUAUCAGUCUUUCUGCCACAAAAACAUCAUCCUUACAUAUCAGAUAUUUAUUUUGGGAAUAAUUCCUAUAGCUGUUUGAUAGCUUUUGAUUGCAUAGAUAACCUGCCCUUGUUUGCUAAUUGAUGCUCCAAGCAAUGGGGCGUAAAAUUCUGUUUCUG